UGUUUGGUUUUUGUCCUUGCGAUAGUUUGCUGAGAAUGAUGGUUUCCAGUGUCAUCCAUGUCCCUACAAAGGACAUGAGCUCAUCCUUUUUUAUGGCUGCAUAGUAUUCCAUGGUGUAUAUGCGCACAUUUUCUUAAUCCAGUCUAUCAUUGAUGGACAUUUGGGUUGGUUCCAAGUCUUUGCUAUUAUGAUUAGUGCCACAAUAAACAUACGUGUGCAUGUGUCUUUAUAGCAGCAUGAUUCAUAAUCCUUUGGGUAUAUACCCAGUAAUGGGAUGGCUGGGUCAAAUGGUAUUUCUAGUUCUAGAUCCUUGAAGAAUCACCACACUGUCUUCCACAAUGGUUGAACUAGUUUACAGUCCCACCAACAGUGUAAAAGUGUUCCUAUUUCUCCACAUCCUCUCCAGCACCUGUUGUUUCCUGACUUUUUAAUGAUGGCCAUUCUAACUGGUAUGAGAUGGUAUCUCAUUGUGGUUUUGAUUUGCAUUUCUCUGAUGGCCAGUGAUGAUGAGCAUUUUUUCAUGUGUCUGUGCCUGUCACUCUUGACUUCUGUGUUAGGAUUCCUUGGGCUGCAUGUAACAGAGAGAAAAGCAUUUUUUCCUACAAGUAGAUGUCUAGAUGUAGGGUUCUGGCACUAGUGCUCCUGCUACAUCAUGUCAAGGUUAGUGUCUGUAGGAUGUCAGGAUUCCCUUGGCUUUUCACUCAUGGCUGCAAGACAGAUGGAGAGCUUCAGACUUUGGGUCCAUUUCAAGGUAGAAAGAAAAGGGGGAAGGGCAAUAUCAGGUUAAGCUGUUCCCUCCUGCUUUUUAUCAGACAUCUUCCCCUGCAGAAUAUGUGGUGUGGCCACCCAUAGCUGCAAGGGAGGCUGGAAGGUGGUUAUUCAGCUUUCUGUCUUCGAGGAUAGGCAAGCUUGGACUACACCUUGGGUGAGCCAAACUGCAGUGUCUGCCACCUUCCAACAAACCAGCCUAAGCCAAAACCCACCAGUAACCCUCCCCUAGUGGAGGGAAACAUUUAGUUCUCUUGGGAGUUGCAGGCAGGUCUGACUUGAGGCACCAUUCUGAGUCAAGCUGGGUGGUGGGGAGGUGGGGUGAGGCAGGAGUGCCUAGCUCUGCUUCCCCAUGGUGUUGCUGGGGGUAGGUACAAACACAGUCACAUCUGCUGUGUCUGGAAAACCAAGACUGGAGUCUCUCAGCUCUCCAGUGCCUGCUUUCCCUGUAGCGAAUUGCAAGGCUCACAUCCCAGGAAAGGCAGCAGAUUAGAUGAGCGCAGGAGCAGAGAGGCUGGGAAUGUGGUGGGGGAGGGAGAAAUGUGGGUUUGGCAGAAUUUUCUAACAUAUCACUUUAUUGAUUUGGAAGACAUACAAGAGAGGAAAUAUAAGAGACAAGUGAUAAGAGGCUCAGCCGAGAUGAGCAUGGAAGAGCCUGCCUUUUUUUUUUUUUUCCUUUAUUGCACACCUAUGGAGCUUUUCUAAGCAUUAAAGAAACACUUCCUUACCCCCCUCCAUGGGAUUUUAAUACCACAGAUACACUGUAUGUCUGUGUGUGUACUCUAUAUGUAUCUGUGUUUAUACAUAAAGGAUGUUUUUUCACUUUUCAAUGUCUUCCAUCCUGGAGGAGACUUUGCCCCCAUUGAGAAUACAUGCAUGAGACACAUCUCUAGAGACACAUCUGGGCUUACUGUGGGAGGAGAAGAGCUGGUCCCACUUUGUCAAACUGUCUUGUAGACAAAGGGAAUUGAGAAGAGUCUUACAUUUCUUGAGCACCUGUUAUGUACUUGGCACCAAGACAGGGGCUUUAGGUCUGACAACUCACCUGAUGCCCAAUGGCAGUUCUGAGUGGUCAGAGCAGGGGCCUCAUUUCACAAAUGACAUCAUCAAGAUUUAGGGGUUCCUCGCUCCUUUGAAGAGAUCCAACCUGCCCAGAUGAACAAGCUAGCACUAUUUCUGAUGACAGGGCAUGGUUGAGUGUCAGAUGGGUUCAGAGCUCAUAGGAUGAGCACAGAAUAGGCUGGAGUCUGUAGUGGUCCUCCCUGGAGGAGAUGGGGUGUGAACUGAGCUCUGCAGGACAGACAGAUGCAGAGAUGAGAAGGGGAGGCAGCACCUGCUGGAGAAGAGCAGGAGCAGAGGCUUAGGGUCUGUAAGGGCCUCUGGCUGCAGGGGAGGAUUUUCGUUGAGAGCUGAGAGAGAUGGAAGCAGAGCCAUUCCAGGCAAAGAUAAAAAGUCCCACCCUGGCAUGUUUAUUCCUCCCCUCUGGUUGUGAUGUAGUAUUGAGCCAGGGAUCCAACUCAGCUAUACUUAGCACCAUUUCCAGAAGGCACGAGGGUGGGAGAUGGGGAUAUAAAAGGCAGGAGUCUGGGGCUCCUCACUCAGAGGCUUCUGAAACCUGAGUGGCAUUUUCAGCGUAUCCCUGUGGAGGAAAUCUCUGAAAGAAGAUACUUUGCUGCAGCUCCUCCUGACAUGAUUGCAUUAGUAAAGAGAGGCGCCAAUAACAAAUGGCCCCCAAAUCUCAGUCGGAUUCUGCAACAAAGG